UACGUAGGGGACUAGCGUUGUCCGGAAUUAUUGGGCGUAAAGAGCUCGUAGGCGGUGUGUCGCGUCGGCCGUGAAAACCUGUGGCUUAACUAUGGGCUUGCGGUCGAUACGGGCAUCACUGGAGUUCGGCAGGGGAGACUGGAAUUCCUGGUGUAGCGGUGAAAUGCGCAGAUAUCAGGAGGAACACCGGUGGCGAAGGCGGGUCUCUGGGCCGAUACUGACGCUGAGGAGCGAAAGCGUGGGGAGCGAACAGG
rnacentral:rRNA from 1 species